GUUGGUCGUAAAUCAAUAGAAAAAAUUAUUGCCAAGUACAAAAAAAACAAAUACUGUUACGUCUCCAAGUGCGAAGCGAUGUAAGAAAUCGCUGUUCGAUAGAAUCGACGAUUUAGAUCGCAGUGGACUACGGCAAAAGGUGCAUUCUAUUUGGUCGAAGCACGAACUACGAACCAUCGGUAAAAUAUUAAUCGCAGUGAACGAAGAUCCAUCACUUCCUAACCUUCAAAAAGGGUGGUCUCUUAUGUUCCCAGUCGAAAAAAAAAAAGCUGCGAUUACCACAACGAAAUGAAUGGCGAC